rnacentral:rRNA from 1 species
AUUGAACGCUGGCGGCAGGCCUAACACAUGCAAGUCGAGCGAGCGGCGGACGGGUGAGUAAUGUCUGGGAAACUGCCUGAUGGAGGGGGAUAACUACUGGAAACGGUAGCUAAUACCGCAUACCAUCAGAUGUGCCCAGAUGGGAUUAGCUAGUAGGUGGGGUAACGGCUCACCUAGGCGACGAUCCCUAGCUGGUCUGAGAGGAUGACCAGCCACACUGGAAUGGAUACACGGGCCAGACUCUUCCGGGCGGCAGCAGGGGGGAAUAUUGCACAAUGGGCGCAAUCCUGAGGCAGCCAUGCCGCGUGGGGGAAGAAGGCCUUCGGGUUGUAAAGCACUGUCAGCGGGGCGGCGUUACCCGCAGAAGAAGCACCGGCUAACUCCGUGCCAGCAGCCGCGGUAAUUC